UCCACCGGAAAAAGAGGAGUGGCGAACGGGUGAGUAACACGUGGGUAACCUGCCCAUCAGAAGGGGAUAACACUUGGAAACAGGUGCUAAUACCGUAUAACAAUCAAAACCGCAUGGUUUUGAUUUGAAAGGCGCUUUCGGGUGUCGCUGAUGGAUGGACCCGCGGUGCAUUAGCUAGUUGGUGAGGUAACGGCUCACCAAGGCCACGAUGCAUAGCCGACCUGAGAGGGUGAUCGGCCACAUUGGGACUGAGACACGGCCCAAACUCCUACGGGAGGCAGCAGUAGGGAAUCUUCGGCAAUGGACGAAAGUCUGACCGAGCAACGCCGCGUGAGUGAAGAAGGUUUUCGGAUCGUAAAACUCUGUUGUUAGAGAAGAACAAGGAUGAGAGUAACUGUUCAUCCCUUGACGGUAUCUAACCAGAAAGCCACGGCUAACUACGUGCCAGCAGCCGCGGUAAUACGUAGGUGGCAAGCGUUGUCCGGAUUUAUUGGGCGUAAAGCGAGCGCAGGCGGUUUCUUAAGUCUGAUGUGAAAGCCCCCGGCUCAACCGGGGAGGGUCAUUGGAAACUGGGAGACUUGAGUGCAGAAGAGGAGAGUGGAAUUCCAUGUGUAGCGGUGAAAUGCGUAGAUAUAUGGAGGAACACCAGUGGCGAAGGCGGCUCUCUGGUCUGUAACUGACGCUGAGGCUCGAAAGCGUGGGGAGCAAACAGGAUUAGAUACCCUGGUAGUC
rnacentral:rRNA from 1 species